rnacentral:rRNA from 1 species
CCGGUAAACGGCGGCCGUAACUAUAACGGUCCUAAGGUAGCGAAAUUCCUUGUCGGGUAAGUUCCGACCUGCACGAAUGGCGUAAUGAUGGCCAGGCUGUCUCCACCCGAGACUCAGUGAAAUUGAACUCGCUGUGAAGAUGCAGUGUACCCGCGGCAAGACGGAAAGACCCCGUGAACCUUUACUAUAGCUUGACACUGAACAUUGAGCCUUGAUGUGUAGGAUAGGUGGGAGGCUUAGAAGUGUGGACGCCAGUCUGCAUGGAGCCGACCUUGAAAUACCACCCUUUAAUGUUUGAUGUUCUAACGUUGACCCGUAAUCCGGGUUGCGGACAGUGUCUGGUGGGUAGUUUGACUGGGGCGGUCUCCUCCUAAAGAGUAACGGAGGAGCACGAAGGUUGGCUAAUCCUGGUCGGACAUCAGGAGGUUAGUGCAAUGGCAUAAGCCAGCUUGACUGCGAGCGUGACGGCGCGAGCAGGUGCGAAAGCAGGUCAUAGUGAUCCGGUGGUUCUGAAUGGAAGGGCCAUCGCUCAACGGAUAAAAGGUACUCCGGGGAUAACAGGCUGAUACCGCCCAAGAGUUCAUAUCGACGGCGGUGUUUGGCACCUCGAUGUCGGCUCAUCACAUCCUGGGGCUGAAGUAGGUCCCAAGGGUAUGGCUGUUCGCCAUUUAAAGUGGUACGCGAGCUGGGUUUAGAACGUCGUGAGACAGUUCGGUCCCUAUCUGCCGUGGGCGCUGGAGAACUGAGGGGGGCUGCUCCUAGUACGAGAGGACCGGAGUGGACGCAUCACUGGUGUUCGGGUUGUCAUGCCAAUGGCACUGCCCGGUAGCUAAAUGCGGAAGAGAUAAGUGCUGAAAGCAUCUAAGCACGAAACUUGC